GAUGAACGCUGGCGGCGUGCCUAAUACAUGCAAGUCGAGCGAACAGACGAGGAGCUUGCUCCUCUGACGUUAGCGGCGGACGGGUGAGUAACACGUGGAUAACCUACCUAUAAGACUGGGAUAACUUCGGGAAACCGGAGCUAAUACCGGAUAAUAUAUUGAACCGCAUGGUUCAAUAGUGAAAGACGGUUUUGCUGUCACUUAUAGAUGGAUCCGCGCCGCAUUAGCUAGUUGGUAAGGUAACGGCUUACCAAGGCGACGAUGCGUAGCCGACCUGAGAGGGUGAUCGGCCACACUGGAACUGAGACACUGUCCAGACUCCUACGGGAGGCAGCAGUAGGGAAUCUUCCGCAAUGGGCGAAAGCCUGACGGAGCAACGCCGCGUGAGUGAUGAAGGUCUUCGGAUCGUAAAACUCUGUUAUUAGGGAAGAACAAAUGUGUAAGUAACUAUGCACGUCUUGACGGUACCUAAUCAGAAAGUCACGGCUAACUACGUG
rnacentral:rRNA from 1 species